rnacentral:lncRNA from 1 species
CCCCCGGAAGGGCAGCGGCGGGCGCCUGUGUGGAAGGUGGGGUGGCCAGAGACACCCGAGGGACCUGAGCUGGAUCGCCAUACCUACCCUGUGGUCCUCAUCUUCCUGGCCUCAUAGCUCCUCCUCUCCAAGCAUGUCUUCCCCGUUGCAAAGAGCUGUGGGAGAUACCAAGAGGGCCUUGUCUGCAUCUUCUAGUUCCUCUGCCAGUCUACCCUUUGAUGACAGGGACUCAAACCAUACCUCAGAGGGGUAAGUAGAUGUUGCAUUGUGUGGCCACUUCCUGUGUCCCUGGCAGCCUUCCCCCUCGUUUUCCCACAUUGAUGAUAAUAUGCGUGGGACUGUGUGAAAACACCAGAAGUGCUAUACUCGUUCAGCACAGUGACACCCUCCCUCCAGCUCCAGGUGUUUUUUUUGGCGGUCCUAGAUGUUGUAGACAUCAAAAUAGUAGUACAUCCUGUUUUUUUUUUUUUUU